rnacentral:lncRNA from 1 species
CAUUGACAACUCGCGGGGAUUGUUUUCCACACCGUGGAAGCUUUGUUCUUUUCGUUUUUUGCAAUAAAUCUUGUUGCUGCUCGCUUUUUGGGUCCACAUUGCUUUUAUGAGCUGUACCACUCACCGUGAAGAUCUGCAGCUUCACUUCAGAGCCUAGCGAGACCACAAGCUCACUGAGAGGAACAAACAACUCCAGACGCGCUGUCUUAAGAGCUAUAACACUCACCGCGAAGGUGUGCAGUUUCACUCCUGAGCUAGUGAGACUACGAAGCCACUGGAACGAAGAAACUCCAACCACGUUUGAACAUCAGAAGGGGCAGACUCCAGACGCUUCAUCUUAAGAGCUGUAACACUCACUGUGAAGGUCUGCAGCUUCACUCCUGAGCCAGCGAGACCACGAACCGAUCUGAACAUCAGAAGGGACAGACUCCAGAUGCCCCACCUUAAGAGCUGUAAUACUCACUGCAAGGGUCUGCAGCUUCAUUCUUGAAGUCAGACCAAGAACCCAGCAAUUCCCAACACACAGGGACCAGCUUCUUUCCUAACUCACUUAGGCUCUUCGUGCUGCUCUGGCAACUAACACCCUUGGCUGCAGGGGCUUGGACACUACCCUUAGUCACUGACAAUUGUGUGAAGGCUGCUGUCGUUAACUUCACUUGAUCACCUUAGGCUCCUGUGAAGUGGUGAGCAAUUCAAACAAAUUCCUGUCGUCAAAUCAUAUGGAGAAAUUGCACUGCAGAGAAAUCUUUAAAAGCAAUUACCUAAUACUGCAGAUUGCUGAACUGUACCCACACCCAAGACUGAGCAUUGGAUCAAUCCAGAAUAUACAUCAGGUGUUCUGCAAUGUCUGCCUAAAACCAUGACUCUGCCUCCUCCAGCUGUUGCUACAUCUCACUAUGGGUUUCCUGUGACAUUUUGAGCAAGUAUGCCUCUGUGACUGGGGUUCUUACACUCCAGAAUGGAUGAGAAGCACCGUAAGUGGCUUUUAAAAUGAAUAUUCCCUGGCCCUUCAGUCGCUCUAUAGGUCAAGAAUCUGAAUUCUCAACCUGUCUAGAAGGUUCUGGUUUUAAUGGUCUGUGGGCUGCACAUUGAGAAACCUGUUCAGCGAGUGCAACAAAGGUUCCACAUGUGAGAAAGGAAGCAUCAGGUCUCUUGAGCCUGUUCUUUAAUCUGUAGGCUGCACCUUCUCUUUAAAUUCUGCUAAUAACACCAUGCGAGAAAACACCCGAGCUUGAAAAGCCCAUGUUCCAACAUAACUGUCCUUCACCACUCUGGAAAAUUAAUGGUUUGUUUCGAUUAUCCCUUUGUUAAACUCCAAAGUCAAAGAGCUCUGAAAGGCAUACGGUUAUUUUAAGUUUCAGGUGAUUUCUGUUGCCAAAUAUUUUAAAAAUUUAAAAUUGCUACGUGACCUCUUAGUAGUACUAUUAGAUUUCCUGACAAUAAAAAUAAGUCUUUUGGUUUCACCAUUUAUAGUUAGUACAGCUAAUAUUAAGUAUAAUUUUAAAAGCCUUUUAUUUUCUCAGAAAGAAAAAAUAAUCAAAAUCUGCUCAGUGUGGUAUUGAAUAAUUAAAAACAAAAGAACAGUAUCUUCACAUUAGUGUUUAAUAUUAAUUGCUUUUUUACCCUUGACACUGGUGCUAAUUAAAUUUUCAUUUUAUUUUCCAUGACUUGUUUAAACAGUUUUUGCAAAUUAUUGCUAAUCAGCCUAAUAAAACUGAAUCACCUAUUAAACAAUUUUGUUUUGAAUUAAAUGGCAUUAAAAUAA